AAGAAACCACUCGAGAGGGCUUGGCAGGAGCCAUGCUCUGUGCUAGGCGUUGGGCCUGGAUAGUGCACAGACAGUUGUUUUCCAUAAGCUAAGCAGUGAAGACAUGGUAUUUAAGACCAGCCAAAGCUGAGCUGACAUCAGUGGUACCAACAUUGUGCUCUUCCCUGGGUGUGGUGUACUGAGCCCUCCACAAGCUAUAUAAAGAAUGCAGAUCAGAAUGACUCCUGGACAUUAACCCACUGAAGGUCUACCUGAAGAACUUCCCACUCCUGCUGUACCUUGUACGCUGAUUCUAUCACCCCUCAGGAGUUUUGUCACUGACUUCACCAUUUAUUUUCCCAUCAUAGUGUGCUGUGUCCCUCAGACUUAACAUAGCAUGUUUGUCUUCUGAAUAGAGACUUGUCUAUGUUGAGCCAUAUAUCUGCCUCCUCCUUCUGCUUGACACAGGCCUCCACCAGCUGGACUCAAACUUCAAUCACCCCCGAACCAGGCCUAUCCCUGAAAAACUCUCCUAUUCUUGUACUUGGAUCCAGUAACUCCCAGUCUUAUA